UUCUCAUUUGAGCGGCAACACGUCCAUUGACUUCCUCUGCUUCUCUACCGCCUCUGUAUUUAGGUUGUAACGCUCAUAAAGACUUUUCAAGUUUCCAUAAUUUUUUGAAAUCAUCUUCCAAAAUAUGAAACACAUCAAAGCGAUUCAAGAACAUCAAAAUCCUCUGGCGCCCCUUUCUCUCUCUGGCGAUUCAAGAACCCCAAAGCGAUUUCACCAGAUCUAUGAAGAUUUCACAAGAUCCAAUUGAUUUGAGAUCUAAAUGAUUUCAGAUCUUCAUUGACCGUCUCUUAUUUUCGUCUCAUCUCAGACCAAGCGUUUGUUUAAAUGUCUCAAUGAAACUUUUGAAUUGAACAUCAUCAAAAAGGUAUGUUGCAUUCUUGAAUAUGCAAGAGCUUACAACACAGAUCAUCAGUCAAGGCUGCUGCUUGAAGCAGCUUCCAUGAUGGUUGAAACCAGGUUUGCACAUAUGAUAGUGGACAAUGCAAUUGCCCUUUAUAGAACUGUUUUCUCUGGUAGAGGGGAACUAUCGGCCCGUCUGAUGCAUCUUGCAAAGUUCUUGAGGAGCCUUCAGAAGCUGGCAGAUGAGUUUGGAUUAGCUUUGGUGAUCACUAAUCAAGUGGUGGCUCAAGUAGAUAAAAAAAUGUGUUUCUAUGAUGGAUGGAUUAAGGUUAUACAUGAUCUUCGCUUGCCUCGAUGUUAUGUUGGUCUUCAUUUGAAGCACAGUUACUCGGUAUCGUUAGUUGUCAAAGGUUGAUAAAAAAAUGUGUUUCUAUGAUGGAUGGCUUAAGGUUAUACAUGAUCUUCGCUUGGACGUUGAUUGUGUCUUAGUUUUCGAGCGAAUUGGUAAUUUCACCCUUAUUAAGAGAAAAAACUCAUUACAAACAAUGAAUUGCCCUUAAAUGGAAUGGAAAAUGAAAUUGCGCGUAGAAAUGGAUCGUGGUAAUCCAAGUUAUUUUCAUAUAAUUUUACUUUUUUAACGUGUCUUUAUAUUAGUAAAUAACUUAUGUCUUUGUUGUUUCGUAUCUAAAUUUACUUUUAUAAUUACAUGUUUUAUGGUUUAGGGAUGUGGUCAUGGGAUGGUGUGAGUUCAUGGAUGACAAUCAUAUAGUUGUUGGUUAUCGAUGGAUGCUGAAGUUAAGAAAGCUUCGUAUUCCACGCUGGUUUGUUGGACUGGUCACUACGGCGGUAGCGUUGAUGGCGUUGGUUGUUCUACAAGUAGGAACCACCAUCAAAACAGGCUCUUCACCGGUGGCAGAAGAUGGUAUAAGAUGGGAAAGGUUAAGUUUCGAGUAAUUUGUUAAGAUGCCUGAUGGUGUAAGCCAAAAACAUCAUCUUUAUUUCUUGUAGGAAAUGUGCUGUAGGUCAUCAAGAUCUAGAAAACACAAACUGUAGAGGAGAUAAAAGAGGCGGUGAAAGGGAAGGCGAAGUUGAAUAUGGCUCUUAGAUGAUAGACGUUCUUCUUUUCGAACCAUCUCAUACACAAGUUCUACAGCCUUGAUGGAGUACUCUCACCUGAAUUAGUAAAGCUUCCUUACCUCCGGUAACUUAAAUGCCGAACUUUUUAUACACUCAAAAUCUAAUGAAACUUAAGUAUAUCCUGUUCUAUUUUCAAAGAUUUUGCUUACAAUUACUUAAGUGGCACAAUACCACCUGAAUGGGGUUCAACACAGUCACAAGAAAUGUGAAAUCUCUGUUUUACCCUUGAGUUCCAUAGUUUUUAUUCUAUUAGAACUAAAAGUUGUGAACUUUGAAGUUUGAACAUAUCCUUCCAUAUGCACCUCUCUUCUUUGUAACCGUUUAACCGGAUCAAUCCCAUUGGAACUGGGCAAUAUCACCACCCUCACACAACUGUAUGAUUUGACUUUUUAUCAUACGGGUCAAAAUCUUUUGUGGUUAUAUGGAUUUUUGUACUCAUCUCGAAAACAAUCUUGAUCAGUAACCUUGAAGCAAACCAGCUUUCAGGAACGGUUCCAUCUGCGUUAGGGAGAUUAACAAAUUUGGAUUCAUUGAUGCUGUCUUCAAACAUGUUGACCGGAAGGCUGCCAAGUGCCAACAACCCUUGGUCAACUAGGAAAUCUAACAGAUUUCGCUCAACGGUUGAAUGACUUGGGUGAAGAAUCAACCAGACUUCCUCCCUUCCUCUCUGGAUGUAGGUAAGUAUUGCUUACCUUAAUAGAAAUCAUGGAUCUACCGUUGCCGAAACUAGAGUUGACAAAUUGUGCGGGAUUGGUCAAAAUGGGUCGGGCCAGUUUAAGCCCAUCAAUACUUUUUAUGUCCAUUUUGUAUAUACUUUAGACUACUAUUUCUUUUUAGCUAAUUUUCCUUCCACAUUAAAACCAUUAUCAAUGAAAUACAUUUUGACCCGUUAUCAAAAUGGGUCAGACUUUUAUAGUCUGUUAAAAGUUGCAGAAAAAAUACCUGGACUUUAUUUUUUAUAUGAUGUCAAUAUAACGCUAAGGACUGUUUUUUCUCCGUAUUUAUGAAAAAAUAAGGAUUUUUUUCGAAUGUGAAUGAUGACUUUUGUUAGGGCUGGAAACGAGACGAGCUAUGUCUGGGUAAAGUGAGCAUAACCGCCUCGACUCAUUUAUCUUUACGAGUUGAAAUGUUGUGCUCUAUCCAGCUCAUCAACCCGUCACAUUUCACUUAUAUAAAUCGGUUGAAUAAGAUUGUAGGUGGAAGCGGGAUCCAUUUAAAAUUCGGGUCAUCCAUCUCUUAAAUAUGGAUCCUAUAUAUUGUCUACUUCACAACCACAAUACUUGACUUCAUAAUUUUUUAUUUAUUUCAUCAUUUAUUUACUUAACAAGAGUUGUAUUUAAAAGUGUAGAUUGAAGAUUCUUUUUCAUUAUAGUUUUAUAAGUGAAGUUAUGUUUUUAACAUGUUCCAAAGUUUUAUAAAGCCCAAGUAGUCACGCAUAGUUUUCAAAAGUAAACUAAAUGUAUAGUGUAGUGGCUAAAUGUAUAACAUCGUGUUCUUUAUAACACCCCCCUUAUGUUACUUUAUUUGCA